AGUGAACGCUGGCGGUAGGCCUAACACAUGCAAGUCGAACGGCAGCACAGUAAGAGCUUGCUCUUACGGGUGGCGAGUGGCGGACGGGUGAGGAAUACAUCGGAAUCUACUUUUUCGUGGGGGAUAACGUAGGGAAACUUACGCUAAUACCGCAUACGACCUACGGGUGAAAGCAGGGGAUCUUCGGACCUUGCGCGAUUGAAUGAGCCGAUGUCGGAUUAGCUAGUUGGCGGGGUAAAGGCCCACCAAGGCGACGAUCCGUAGCUGGUCUGAGAGGAUGAUCAGCCACACUGGAACUGAGACACGGUCCAGACUCCUACGGGAGGCAGCAGUGGGGAAUAUUGGACAAUGGGCGCAAGCCUGAUCCAGCCAUACCGCGUGGGUGAAGAAGGCCUUCGGGUUGUAAAGCCCUUUUGUUGAGAAAGAAAGCAGCAGGUUAAUACCCCGCUGUUCUGACGGUACCCAAAGAAUAAGCACCGGCUAACUUCGUG
rnacentral:rRNA from 1 species